AAGAUGUCAGACACGGCCUCUUUCACGGUUCGAGGCGAUAAUGGUUUCCUUAUCUCCCAAAUGAAGAAAACAGUAUCACCUAGAAGCCGUGGCAGGACCAACAGUGACGUAAUCAGUUCGAUAGGUGAUUGGUUAUCGACAGACCCUUCACAGAACCUGUCAAAGUUGUGUAAUCCUCAUUCUAACCACUGAGUGACACUUGAUGAACUCUUGGUAUAGCAAUUAUUCUGAGAUAAAUAUGGUAAACAUUCCCAAAGAUUUUUGGAUGCCGGUUAAUAUUGAACUGAUUGAAUCAAUAUAUUGCAUUAACAUGAACACUAACUGUGAUUGCUGUCUUUUAUAUUGGCCGAUUUAUGAACACGGAAUAUUUCUCCCGGAACCACUGUUUUAAGGCAUAUUUUGUAAACAGACACUUCCGCUGCCUGGAACAUUAAAACAGCACAUCCGGGUGUUUUAUUUGUGAUUCUACAUGAAGAUCUAUAAAACAUUUGCAUUUCCGAUCAUAACGCUUUGUUUCUAGGAAUUCUCACGGCCCGGUUUUCAUGGUUGAUUCUCUAACGCGUGUCGGACCAUUGUGAGGUUCCCCCAUCCCAAGCUGACACUCUGGACGAUCUUGAUCGAACAUCGAUACAGAAAUGGGGGGAAGGGGGGGGGAGGCGGGCUAGCAUAUACAAUCAUUUCACCGUAGAAAAAAUAGAUAUUUUAAAUCAUAUAACAUAGAGAAUAACCUAUGCUUUUAUUAUCAUUGCCAUUAUACUAUAUUGCUAUCUAACUGUUUAAGAUUGUGAUUAUUUAUGUCUACAUGUAUUUAUGUAUACACAUGUACGUUAAAAAAAUGUACUGACAUACAUAGAUACAUAUAAUUCAAACUUGUCAUAUCAACUAAAUAGGAUACUAAAGUUAUGUCAAAUAAAUAGGAUAUUAAUUU
rnacentral:sRNA from 1 species